rnacentral:rRNA from 1 species
GUAACACGUGAGUAACCUGCCCCCUUCUUUGGGAUAACGCCCGGAAACGGGUGCUAAUACUGGAUAUUCACUGGCCUUCGCAUGGGGGUUGGUGGAAAGGUUUUUUCUGGUGGGGGAUGGGCUCGCGGCCUAUCAGCUUGUUGGUGGGGUGAUGGCCUACCAAGGCUUUGACGGGUAGCCGGCCUGAGAGGGUGACCGGUCACAUUGGGACUGAGAUACGGCCCAGACUCCUACGGGAGGCAGCAGUGGGGAAUAUUGCACAAUGGGCGAAAGCCUGAUGCAGCGACGCCGCGUGAGGGAUGACGGCCUUCGGGUUGUAAACCUCUUUCGCUCAUGGUCAAGCCGCAACAGUGGUUGUGGUGAGGGUAGUGGGUAAAGAAGCGCCGGCUAACUACGCGCCAGCAGCCGCGGUAAUACGUAGGGCGCGAGCGUUGUCCGGAAUUAUUGGGCGUAAAGGGCUUGUAGGCGGUUGGUCGCGUCUGCCGUGAAAUCCUCUGGCUUAACUGGGGGCGUGCGGUGGGUACGGGCUGACUUGAGUGCGGUAGGGGAGACUGGAACUCCUGGUGUAGCGGUGGAAUGCGCAGAUAUCAGGAAGAACACCGGUGGCGAAGGCGGGUCUCUGGGCCGUUACUGACGCUGAGGAGCGAAAGCGUGGGGAGCGAACAGGAUUAGAUACCCUGGUAGUCCACGCUGUAAACGUUGGGCACUAGGUGUGGGGGCCACCCGUGGUUUCUGCGCCGUAGCUAACGCUUUAAGUGCCCCGCCUGGGGAGUACGGCCGCAAGGCUAAAACUCAAAGGAAUUGACGGA